GAUGAAGAACGUAGCGAAAUGCGAUAACUAAUGUGAAUUGCAGAAUUCAGUGAAUCAUCGAGUCUUUGAACGCACAUUGCGCCCCCUGGUAUUCCGGGGGGCAUGCCUGUCCGAGCGUCAUUGCUGCUCUCAAGCACGGCUUGUGUGUUGGGCUCCGUCCCCCCGGGGACGGGCCCGAAAGGCAGCGGCGGCACCGAGUCCGGUCCUCGAGCGUAUGGGGCUUUGUCACCCGCUCUGUAGGCCCGGCCGGCGCCAGCCGACAACCCAUCAUCCUUUUCAGGUUGACCUCGGAUCAGGUAGGGAUACCCGCUGAACUUAAGCAUAUCAAUAAGCGGAGGA
rnacentral:misc_RNA from 1 species